rnacentral:lncRNA from 1 species
AUGAGGAGGGGGAGGGGAGGGAUAAGGAGGGAGGAAAGAGGGGAAGAAGGGGAGGGCAGGAGUGGGGGAGGGGAGGGUGGGGGAAGGGGAGGAGGAGGAAGAGGAUGGAGGGGAGAGGAGGGGGGAGGGAGAGGGGGAGGAUGGAGGAGAGGGGAAAGGAGGGAAGGGGGAAGGGAGGGGAGGGGAAAGGAGGGAUGGGGAGGGGAGGGGAAAGGAGGGGGAUGGAGGAGAGGGGGUAAGGAUGGAAGGGGAGGGGAGGGGGGAGGGGAGGAGGAAGGGGAGGGGAAAGGAGGGCGGAGAGGGGAGGAGAGGGCCCGCUCAGUCCCGAGGAGACCCCGGGAUUUCCGGCUGGAGGAAGAAAGCGCGGGGGUGGGGGCCUGGGCUCGGGGACCUGGGGCCCUGGGGUCCUGGGGCCCCGCCGUCCGGGUUGUCAUCCGCGCCCCGCCUGAGUUCCCUGGGUCCUGGGUCGGAGCGGCCUCCGGUAAGCGUCCGCCCGGCCGGCCGCGGAGCCCCGAAGCCCGGCCGCUGCCCGCACCCCUGCUCUGGAACCCGGGGAGGGGGGGGGGUCGGGCCCUGCGCCCCCCCCCCCCCCCCGUUCGCGCCGCGCCUCCCCGCAGGCGGGAGUCGGAGUCUCGCGGCCGAGCCCGGGCAUCUGAAGCUACAUUCGGGGGAACCCCUGCCUGCGCCCGGGGAUCCGCGUGGCCCCGGAGCAUCCUCGACCGGGCAGUCUCGGGGCAGGUACCCUUGGCAGGGCGACCGCGCAAGCGCCGGGUGACUCACCUGGCGCUCCUCGGCCCCGACUCUGCCGGCCACCCGGAGGCCACCCUGACCGCAGUUUGCCAGGUGCCCAACCAUCAGUUUCCCCUCGAACGCUCUUCUCCCGACCACUGCCACGCGCGAGGGGCGCGCUCACCCUUCCCGGCCGCGCACAGAAACACGGGAGCUCCCCCACGUGUCGCCCCCAGCCCCGCCCUCACCGUGAGCCCCUCCAGCCGGGGAGUGAAGCAGGUGCUUCCUUCCUUGCUCCCAGUCGCCUCCCAACCACCUCUCCCCUUCCUCCUGCAAAGGCCCCAGCGCCCCUCGAGUUCUGCCGAUGGGUGUGACGUCUGCUGCUCUUGCGGGCCUUGUCACCCACCCCCUUCUGUCACCUAA